rnacentral:rRNA from 1 species
AUACGUAGGGGGCGAGCGUUGUCCGGAAUGAUUGGGCGUAAAGGGCGCGUAGGCGGCCCGGUAAGUCUGGAGUGAAAGUCCUGUUUUUAAGAUGGGAAUUGCUUUGGAUACUGUCGGGCUUGAGUGCAGGAGAGGUAAGUGGAAUUCCCAGUGUAGCGGUGAAAUGCGUAGAGAUUGGGAGGAACACCAGUGGCGAAGGCGACGUACUGGACUGUAACUGACGCUGAGGCGCGAAAGUGUGGGGAGCAAACAGGAUUAGAUACCCUGGUAGUCCACGCUGUAAACGAUGAAUACUAGGUGUCGGGGAGCGACAAGCUGUUCGGUGCCGCAGCAAACGCAAUAAGUAUUCCACCUGGGGAGUACGUUCGCAAGAAUGAAACUCAAAUGAAUUGACGGGG